GUCAUAGCUCAGUGGCAGAGCCUCGGCCUUGCAAGCGGAAGGACCGUGGGGUUCAAUCUUCAGCAUCGCCA